UGGUCUCUAUCUGCUGCAGGCGUUGACGCUUGAGGGAAGUUGUCCUUUGUACGAGAGGAUCAGGAUGAACGAACCUCUGGUCUACCGGCUUUGCCACCAGGUGAAGCGCCGGGUAGCUAUGUUCGGCAGGGAUAAGCGCUGAAAGCAUCUAAGCGCGAAGCCCCUCCCAAGAUUAGGCGUCUUAGACUCGUGGAAGACUACCACGUUGAUAGACUUUAGGUGUAAGGCCAGCAAUGGUUUUAGCCAAGAAGUACUAAUAAGUCAAAAUUGUUU
rnacentral:rRNA from 1 species